UCAGAUUGAACGCUGGCGGCAGGCUUAACACAUGCAAGUCGAACGAUGACUCUCUAGCUUGCUAGAGAUGAUUAGUGGCGGACGGGUGAGUAACAUUUAGGAAUCUGCCUAGUAGUGGGGGAUAGCUCGGGGAAACUCGAAUUAAUACCGCAUACGACCUACGGGUGAAAGGGGGCGCAAGCUCUUGCUAUUAGAUGAGCCUAAAUCAGAUUAGCUAGUUGGUGGGGUAAAGGCCCACCAAGGCGACGAUCUGUAACUGGUCUGAGAGGAUGAUCAGUCACACCGGAACUGAGACACGGUCCGGACUCCUACGGGAGGCAGCAGUGGGGAAUAUUGGACAAUGGGGGCAACCCUGAUCCAGCCAUGCCGCGUGUGUGAAGAAGGCCUUUUGGUUGUAAAGCACUUUAAGCAGGGAGGAGAGGCUAAUGGUUAAUACCCAUUAGAUUAGACGUUACCUGCAGAAUAAGCACCGGCUAACUCUGUGCCAGCAGCCGCGGUAAUACAGAGGGUGCGAGCGUUAAUCGGAAUUACUGGGCGUAAAGCGAGUGUAGGUGGCUCAUUAAGUCACAUGUGAAAUCCCCGGGCUUAACCUGGGAACUGCAUGUGAUACUGGUGGUGCUAGAAUAUGUGAGAGGGAAGUAGAAUUCCAGGUGUAGCGGUGAAAUGCGUAGAGAUCUGGAGGAAUACCGAUGGCGAAGGCAGCUUCC
rnacentral:rRNA from 1 species